GGUUACACGGCCAACCGCACGGCUAUUUGGAUUACACGGCCUGACAGACGCCCAUGUACCUGGCUAUGUGGCAUCGACAGCCACUAAUUUUGGCGACUGAAACUUGCAAAAAUUAAGGUUUCUAGUACGCACCUGGUUUCGCUUUGACGGAAAAAUAAUACGGGGACUACCCGAAACCUAAUUAACCAUCCAAUAAUCAGUUACACCAUUGUUUUCAAUAUUUUACUAAAAUCAACCUACUGUUAAGAUCAUGUCGAAAGUUUCAAC
rnacentral:lncRNA from 1 species